UCCGUAGGUGAACCUGCGGAAGGAUCAUUAGUGAAUUUAGAGCGUAACUUCGGUUAGCUCAACCUUCAUUUUCCAACUCUGUGCACUAUUGGCGGACUGAGAGUAAGCAAUUGCUAUUCAGUCUGCGGCUCACUAUUAAACAUUAGUUAAAGUAUGUAAACAAAAACAAAACAAAAAAAACUUUCAACAACGGAUCUCUUGGCUCUCGCAUCGAUGAAGAACGCAGCGAAAUGUGAUAAGUAAUGUGAAUUGCAGAAUUCAGUGAAUCAUCGAAUCUUUGAACGCACCUUGCGCUCUCUGGUAUUCCGGAGAGCAUGUCUGUUUGAGUGUCAUGAACUCUUCAACCUACCGGUUUCUAGUAAAUCGGAUUAGUGUUUGGAUUCUGAACGCCUGCUGGCCUUUAUUGGCGAAGCUCGUUCGUAAAUGAUUAGCAUCUCAUAUUCGAAAAUCGGAUUGACUCAGUGUAAUAGACUAUUCGCUGAGGACGCUCUUUCGGGAGUGGCCGAGUUUUGUAAAGUAGAAGCUUCUAAUUCUAUUAGUCAACUUUAGAUUAGACCUCAGAUCAGGCAGGAUUACCCGCUGAACUUAAGCAUAUCAAUAAGCGGAGGA
rnacentral:rRNA from 1 species